rnacentral:lncRNA from 1 species
CUGCAAACAAAAUGAAUCAUGCCCUCUUUAGGAAAAUAUUUAUUAUAAAGGUAGUCAUGUAAGGGCUGCCCAAGAAUCUCAGAUGCUGCCAUGACAUCUCUGAAGUUCCUUGGCUGCUUUCUAACCAACUGGAGCUACACACCAUUAUGAGAAAAUGGUCCCACCGGCAGAAAAUAAAAAGUAUAGAAGAAAAAUCCAAAACAAUCC